GGAUGUGAUCAUACCAGCACUAAAGCACCGGAUCCCAUCAGAACUCCGAAGUUAAGCGUGCUUGGGCGAGAGUUGUACUAGGAUGGGUGACCUCCUAGGAAGUCCUCGUGUUGCAUUCC
rnacentral:rRNA from 1 species